GGCCAUCCAGAGAGGCUGAUACUUUCACUUUCCUUUCAUCCCUCCCCUGUCCCGCCCCCUUGGGUUUCUGCCAGGGAGACAGGGGAUGUUGAAGAACACAGGACUGGGACAGGCCCAGUCUGCAGGCUGGAGAUUCAAGGAUGAAAGGAGGAUUUUUCAGGCUUCUCUCUACUGCACACGGUUCUGAACUCUACCUCGGAGCAAGAGAGAAACCAAGUGUAGAAAACUCAUCCCCAAGUGCUCUGGGGUCCAGCUCUCCCAGGCUUCCCUGUUUGGAAAAGGCAGAAGACAAUGAAAUAUAAGCUCCAAAGCCCCACUAGAGAUCAUGCUGUUGGCUUAGGGGGAAUUGGAAAUCACCCUCCAUCUCGCGAGUGCUUCUAGCCAGAGCAGAAGCUUCUUGGCAGGAGAAGCCAGGCGCACCAGCCCCGCCUCAUGGAUGGGCCUCUCCAUUAGCCAUAGGAGACUGCCUGCCAGGAUAUUUCUUGCUCCCAGCAACCCUAACAUCAUGAGAGAAAAUAGGCUAUGGACUCCAGAACCUUAUCUUUCUAGGACUCAGCCUUAUCGCCCUGUGGGUCCAAGUGAAAUGAAGAAUAUUAAUCAGAAACUAAAAUCAAGGAGAAAAAAAAAAUUCGUUCUGUCAGAGGCCCUAAACCAAGCAAGAGGUCAAAGGUCCCGCUCUCUGCCUGGAGGGUAUCCUGUCAGGCACUCCUUGCAUGGAUGCUAUUAUGGGCUGAACUGUGUCUCCAAAUUCAUCUUUCCAAGCCCCCAGUACCUCAGAAGGUGACUCUACUUGGAGACAGGGUCUUUGCAGAGGGAGAAGAUGGCCGUCUACAAGCCACGGAGAGAGGCCUGGGACAGAUCCUUCCCUCGCGGCCCUCCGAAGAAACCACCCCUCACAGACUGCUAGCCUUCAGAACUGUGAGCAGAUACCUUUCUGCUGCGCGAGCCCCCCAGUCCAUGGUGCUUUGUAAGGGUAGCAAAUUAACAUGGAUGCUUAAAGGUUGGGAGGUCUGCACAACCUUGAGGCUGCCUGGACUCACAGAGUGUGUCUGUGAAAGGGGGGGGUAGGCUUUUGUACUAGCAUGGUUGCAUUAUUUUAAUUUGAAACAAAAUUGAUCUAUUACUCUCUUCCCCCAUAGCCUAGUCUUUUAAAUUUUUUAUUUCUUUUGGUAUUGCUUUAACACAUUUUAUUGUUUUAAUCCCUUUAGUCUUUUAUUUUUCUGGUUUUAAUGAUUUUACUUAUCUCUGUCAUUUUUAAUCUCUUCUUCGUCUUUGUUCUAGCCAUUUCAUACUAGUUGCUUUUAUCUCAUCUUAUCUUCUAGAUUUAUUGUUAUUGUAUUAUCUUUUUAUUCUCCAUCUUUUAUUUCUAACCUUUGCCUUAUCGUGUCUUUGUUCUAUCUUUUCAUUUCUUUUUAGUUUGUUUGGUUUAUUUUUAGUUCAUAUUAUCACUUUGCCUGCUGCCUUUUUUUUUUUUUUUUUUACCGUUUUUACCAUCUUUUUAUUUCUUCUUAGUUUACUUUAUCUUUUUAUUGACUGGUGUAUUAUCUUCCAUAUUUUACUGUUUUCAAUUCUCUCCGCUUAUUAAAUGCGGAGGCUGGAAACACAGCCCUCAGGGGACAGCUGCCAGGCUAACCCGGACCCCAAGCUGAGGAGGCUAGAUGUUCUCUGGCUCCUCGAGCCCGCCCAGCAACUCCCAACAGAUGCCCCAUUUGCUCCAAAGUGGGCCCCUCCUAUCUCUAAGAAUCAAUCUGUGUAACAUGGGAGACCUUGGGAUAAAAUUCUCUCGGGAAGAUACCAGGUUUGCUUACAAUAAUAACACAUUUGAGUUAUGGAGGAGCCCAGCUUUCUCCUAUCACACGCCAUCAAACUGCUCUCUGUGGACUCAGUCACCUAAAGUUCACCAUCAGUAGACAUCAGAGCAAGCGUCUAAAGAAACCACACCACUUGUCAGGGUGGAUCUGGUGGGUAGGGAAUUUCACUUGGUGAAAAUCUCUCAACAGACCUCCUCAGGUUGCAUUUUAACAAGAAACCAAGUGGUCUCGAUUCAUGCAACAAAAGUCCUGGGGGAAAGGCACAAUGAAGGGUCUCUGAAUUCUUCCGUCUAGCUGUCUUUCAUUCAUUCAUUUAUUUAAUGUCUGUAUUGAGAAGCUACUCUGUGCCAGGAAUUAGGCUAAGAAAUGAGCAUCAAGUGAAGAGCAAAGAGAGCUAGGGCCCUUGAUCUCUUACAGUUUAUAGUCUGGUAAAAAGAUAUGAUAUUUACCUGGCUCUGACCGAUCUGACCUGCCUUCCUUGCAGACAAGAUUAUAGGAGGUUGUUAUGGCCAAGACUGCCAGUUGUUCCCCCAGUGUGUUUUUCCCUUCUAGAAUAAUACGGGUUUAGGCUGAGAAAAAUGACUACCAAUCAAAAGACUGCAUUUCCCAGGCUCCCUUGCCGUGAAACACAGCCAGGCACCUGGGUUCUGCCCAAUAGAACCUAGGCAGAAGUGAAACCUACAACAUGCUGGUUCUGCCUCAUAGGACCUAAGCAGAAUCGUAUAUGCAACUUCCUGGUCAUAUCCUUAACAAUAAAGUGUAUUUCCAUUCUCUCUUUCUCCCUUCUGCCGGCUGGGAUGGGGGUAUGGGGACAGGAGUUCUUGCAGUUGUGGGAUAGCCUAGAAGGCCAUGAGAUGAAUGAAGGGCAUUGAAAAAGGAGUUUGGGGGUGCCUGGGUGGCUCAGUCGAUGAAGCAGCCAACUUGAUUUCAGCUCAGGUCAUGAUCUCACUGUUGGUGGGUUUGAGUCCCCCACCUCGCAUAAUGCUGACAGUGCAGAGCCUCCUUGGGAUUCUCUCUGCCCUUUCCCCACUCACACGUGCUCUCUCUCUUUCAAAAUAAGCAAAUAAACUUAAAAAAAAAAAAAGAAAGAAAAAGGAGUAUGGGUCUCUAAUACCACGGAGCCCCUAUACCGUUCUGUACUGCCUAUUCUUGGACAAUUACAGGAGAGACUAAUAAAUUGCUAUCUGGUAUAA